rnacentral:rRNA from 1 species
AGUGAACGCUGGCGGUAGGCCUAACACAUGCAAGUCGAACGGCAGCACAGGAGAGCUUGCUCUCUGGGUGGCGAGUGGCGGACGGGUGAGGAAUACAUCGGAAUCUACUUUUUCGUGGGGGAGAACGUAGGGAAACUUACGCUAAUACCGCAUACGACCUACGGGUGAAAGCAGGGGACCUUCGGGCCUUGCGCGAUUGCAUGAGCCGAUGUCGGAUUAGCUAGUUGGCGGGGUAAAGGCCCACCAAGGCGACGAUCCGUAGCUGGUCUGAGAGGAUGAUCAGCCACACUGGAACUGAGACACGGUCCAGACUCCUACGGGAGGCAGCAGUGGGGAAUAUUGGACAAUGGGCGCAAGCCUGAUCCAGCCAUACCGCGUGGGUGAAGAAGGCCUUCGGGUUGUAAAGCCCUUUUGUUGGGAAAGAAAUCCAGCCGGUUAAUACCUGGUUGGGAUGACGGUACCCAAAGAAUAAGCACCGGCUAACUUCGUGCCAGCCGCCGCAGUAAGAC